UCUUGUUCUGCAUAAUGGUAAAUACUUCUGAAAAGCGAUUUGAAGGAACAGAAAUGAUGGAUGUGUAAAUAAAAGAGAAUGACCAAGAAACAGCUGUAGCGAAAAAGAAUUUGAAGCUUGGAACAUCGAACAAAUAUUCGCCAAAUGAAACGCUAUCUUCAGUUGAAAACAUCCACAAAUUAACGACGAUACAAACUUUUUACGUAAAUCAAUAUCUUUUUAUAACCGGCGGUACAGGUUUUAUCAGAAUAAUGUUGAUUGAAAAAUUAUUACGAGGAUGUCCUGGCAUAAACUGCAUUUACGUUUUGAUUCGUAGGAAAAAAGUUAAAAGUGUCUCUAAACGAAUGGAAGUAAUUGUCGAAAAUUCGGUGAGUCCUUCAUUUACAAUCGAUUAUUAUUUUUAUCUUGUGAUUAGAUUUUCAUUCAACUCUAUGAUUUUAUGUCUUCACUGAAUAGUAUUUAUAUUUAAUACAUUUAAUAGAUACAUUUAAGAAG